rnacentral:misc_RNA from 1 species
AAGUUGUAUUACACAGAUGCUAACAAGUGAAUUAAACCUGAAUUGAAGUCGUAUUACACAAAUGCUAACAAGUGAAUUAAAACUGAAUUGAAGUUGUAUUACACAGAUGCUAACAAGUGAAUUAAACCUGAAUUGAAGUCGUAUUACACAAAUGCUAACAAGUGAAUUAAAACUGAAUUGAAGUUGUAUUACACAGAUGCUAACAAGUGAAUUAAACCUGAAUUGAAGUCGUAUUACACAAAUGCUAACAAGUGAAUUAAAACUGAAUUG